GAUGAACGCUGGCGGCGUGCCUAAUACAUGCAAGUCGAGCGCAGCGGGGGCGGGGGAGUAACACGUGGAUAACCUCCUAUACGACUGGGAUAACGUGGGGAAACCGGAGCUAAACCGGAUACUUAGAGAUGGAUCCGCGCUGCAUUAGCUGGUUGGUAAGGUAACGGCGUACCAAGGCAACGAGGCAUAGCCGACCUGAGAGGGUGAGCGGCCACACUGGAACUGAGACACGGUCCAGACUCCUACGGGAGGCAGCAGUAGGGAAUCUUCCGCAAUGGGCGAAAGCCUGACGGAGCCACGCCGCGUGGGUGAUGAAGGUCUUCGGAUCGUAAAACUCUGUUAUUAGGGAAGCGGUACCUAAUCAGAAAGCCACGGCUAACUACGUGCCAGCAGCCGCGGUAAUUC
rnacentral:rRNA from 1 species